AUUGAACGCUGGCGGCAUGCCUUACACAUGCAAGUCGAACGGUAACGCGGGGCAACCUGGCGACGAGUGGCGAACGGGUGAGUAAUGCAUCGGAACGUGCCCGGUAGUGGGGGAUAACUGCUCGAAAGAGCAGCUAAUACCGCAUACGACCUGAGGGUGAAAGGGGGGGAUCGCAAGACCUCUCGCUAUCGGAGCGGCCGAUGUCGGAUUAGCUAGUUGGUGGGGUAAAGGCCUACCAAGGCGACGAUCCGUAGCUGGUCUGAGAGGACGACCAGCCACACUGGGACUGAGACACGGCCCAGACUCCUACGGGAGGCAGCAGUGGGGAAUUUUGGACAAUGGACGCAAGUCUGAUCCAGCCAUGCCGCGUGCGGGAAGAAGGCCUUCGGGUUGUAAACCGCUUUUGUCAGGGAAGAAAUCUUCUGAGUUAAUACCUCGGGAGGAUGACGGUACCUGAAGAAUAAGCACCGGCUAACUACGUGCCAGCAGCCGCCGCCGUAA
rnacentral:rRNA from 1 species